AUUGAACGCUGGCGGCAGGCCUAACACAUGCAAGUCGAACGGUAACAGGAAACAGCUUGCUGUUUCGCUGACGAGUGGCGGACGGGUGAGUAAUGUCUGGGAAACUGCCUGAUGGAGGGGGAUAACUACUGGAAACGGUAGCUAAUACCGCAUAACGUCGCAAGACCAAAGAGGGGGACCCUCGGGCCUCUUGCCAUCGGAUGUGCCCAGAUGGGAUUAGCUUGUUGGUGGGGUAACGGCUCACCAAGGCGACGAUCCCUAGCUGGUCUGAGAGGAUGACCAGCCACACUGAAACUGAGACACGGUCCAGACUCCUACGGGAGGCAGCAGUGGGGAAUAUUGCACAAUGGGCGCAAGCCUGAUGCAGCCAUGCCGCGUGUAUGAAGAAGGCCUUCGGGUUGUAAAGUACUUUCAGCGGGGAGGAAGGGAGUAAAGUUAAUACCUUUGCUCAUUGACGUUACCCGCAGAAGAAGCACCGGCUAACUCCGUG
rnacentral:rRNA from 1 species